GACAGAGGUCCCGAGCCGUUAGGCGGAAUCACUGGGCUUAAAGCGUGUGUAGGCGGAGUGCUAAGUACCUUGUGAAAUCCCACGGCUCAACCGUGGAACUGCUUGGUAUACUGGUUCUCUUGAGCCACCUAGGGGCAACCGGAACAAACGGUGGAGCGGUGAAAUGCGUAGAUAUCGUUUGGAACGCCAAUGGUGAAAACAGGUAGCGUGGGGCUGUGCUGACGCUGAGACACG
rnacentral:rRNA from 1 species